rnacentral:rRNA from 1 species
UCCCGUCAAUUUCUUUGAGUUUCAACCUUGCGGCCGUACUCCCUAGGCGGUGUGCUUAUCGCGUUAGCUACGACACUGAGAAACUAAGUUCCCCAACAUCCAGCACACAUCGUUUACAGCGUGGACUACCAGGGUAUCUAAUCCUGUUUGCUCCCCACGCUUUCGCGCUUCAGCGUCAGUAAAAGACCAGGUCGCCGCCUUCGCCACCGGUGUUCUUUCCAAUAUCUACGAAUUUCACCUCUACACUGGAAAUUCCACAACCCUCUUCUCCACUCAAGCCGCCACGUAUCAAAUGCAGUCCCCAGGUUGAGCCCAGGAAUUUCACAUCUGACUGUGUAGGCCGCCUACGCGCCCCUUACGCCCAGUCAUUCCGAGCAACGCUAGCCCCCUUCGUAUUACCGCGGCUGCUGGCACA